rnacentral:rRNA from 1 species
CAAUAGCGUAUAUUAAAGUUGAUGCAGUUAAAAAGCUCGUAGUUGGACCUUGGACCUGGACAGGCGGUCCGCCUCACGGCGUGUACUGUCUUGCUGGGUCUUUCCUCUUGGUGAUCUGUUGUUUCGGCAGCAGGGAACCAGGACUUUUACUUUGAAAAAAUUAGAGUGUUCAAAGCAGGCUCGACGCCGGAAUAUAUUAGCAUGGAAUAAUAAAAUAGGACGUGCGGUUCUAUUUUGUUGGUUUUUGGAAUCGCCGUAAUGAUUAAUAGGGACAGUCGGGGGCAUUAGUACUCACAUGCUAGAGGUGAAAUUCUUGGAUUUUGUGAAGACUAACUUCUGCGAAAGCAUUUGCCAAGGAUGUUUUCAUUAA